rnacentral:lncRNA from 1 species
AUGAAUCCUUUAAAGACAUUUCUUCUCAUACUCCUCAAAUGGAUAAGUGCGUGGGUGAAAAGUGGUCUUGUGAGACUGGGGGGAGCUUUUCCAGGAGUUAAUUCUUGGAUAGCACCACCAGACAGAAGACCAAGCCACGUGGACUCUGAGUGGCAAACCAAAGAGCCGCUCCGGACAUAUCGGCUCGGCGAUGGCGCAGAAACCAUGGUUACGGUCCAGACCGGCACACACGCCUUCUAUGUGGACCUCAGGAGGCUUUCAGAGUGCAGCGAGUACUUCAGGGCCUUGUCCCAGUCCAGCAUGAGAGAGACAUCAGAGAGCCUCAUCCACCUGGACCACGUGUCCUCCUCCAUCUUCCACAGUCUCCUUGAGUUCUCCUUCUGCAAUAGGUUUAAUGUCCCUCAGGGAGAGUUGGACGCACACAUACAGGUCAGCAGUUACCUCCUGGCUGAAGCCUUCCUCUCACGGUGCUUGUCCGUCCUCGCUGAUGAACUCAGGCCGGAUAAUUGUCUGUCCUACCUGGAACUGGCUCAGGAGAUCUGCUGUGCAGGCCUGAAGACGACGGUGCUCACCUACCUGUGCAGAAACAUGCUGGAACUGUCUGACGUCCUCAGGUGUCUGAACAACGAGGAGAAGGCGGAAGUCGUCCAAAUGAGGUCACAAGGGGAGCGACUCCUCUGCAGCCUUAGGAAGGAGAACCUGACGACCUGGAAAGACCCAGAAACGGAACGUGCCCGACGCGUGUUCACCCUGACGGGGUCGGAGGGCGGCGGCGUGUGGCAGCCGGUGUCUGAGCUGCCCUUCAGGGCUGAUAAGUGGUGCUUCACCACGGCCGUCCUGUAUAACUACCUGUACAUCAUCGGAGGCUAUCGGCAGCGAGUGAAGAGGGGCUGGGAGUUUAAAAUGGCUUCCUUCAGGUUUAAUCCUCUGACUCGUGCAUGGGUCACCACUGCUCCACUAAUUAAGGUAAGACAGUCAUUUAUUUUGUCUUUUUAA